UUUAAGAUCCUCACCGGCCGUUCCGGGGUGACCUCGGGGCCCCGCCGGCUGUUUUUUAUUUUGUUUUCCCGGGAGUUCUAGGGGAUCCCGGUCUUCAUGCUCCGGGAGGCAUCUUUAAGAUCCUCGCUGGCCGUUCCGGGGUGACCUCGGGGCCCCGCCGGCUGUUUGUGCUCCCUUAGGAGGUCUUGCGCAAGGUUCAGGCUCAUUGGCCUUACUGUCGCUUCGUCAUCUCAGCUGGUUUUGUGCCUAACUGAGGUCUUGUUUAUUUUUCUGAAUUUUUCUGCAAAAUAAGAGCUUGUACAGAGCAUAUAUAAUGAAGAUGCUCGUUGUUAAUUCAAUAAUAU
rnacentral:lncRNA from 1 species